GGUAUGUGAGAUAUAAAAAAGUCACAUGCCACAAUUAAAUUUCUCCACCGAACAUUAUGUGACGUGUACACAAUGUUAUCGGGAAAGAUAUGGGUGGGAUGACGCUUUGACCAACGAGAAGAGUGGUUGAGACGAAGGAGAGAUCUGAGCAACUUUCUCAAUCUCCAGAGAGAUAUGCUUCAAACUGAGAAUUCUCAACAAAAAGGGAACUUGGGGGAGCUUGGUGUGCCUAAUCAUCACAGGAGACAUACCCUUCUUAUCAAAUUUCGAUGUUUCCAGUUGUACAGUAAGAUUGGUAUGAGGAUGAGUGAAGAAGCAGAGUCUAAGGCUUUCUACAAGCAGAGUCUAAGUGGUCAAAGGCUUUUCUAAGGUGCUGCAAGAUUCCUAAGGAAUCGAACAGAUGGAUGAUACAUUCUUCCAUCACAAGUAAGUGCCUUUAACCUAUUUGCAUAGGCUUGGAACAGAUGGAUGAUAGAUGAUACAUUCUUCCUUGUUACUAGAGAGACAUGAUAUGAUAAAAUUGAACUUUGAAACUUAAUUCUAGUCGCUAGUGGUGGGCCUGCCAUCAAUUAGGCCCAUUUAAUUAAAAGUUCAAACGAGUAUCCCCUUCUUCUACCCUAAUAAGUUUCGGAAGGUUUCAGUUUGCCGUCGUUAGAACCUUCAUCUGAGUUUAUAAUGAAGUCAAAAAAACGGCGGGUCCUUGAAUCUCCUCUUGCUGUACCAUCUUUUGCUGAGUGGGAAAAUCAAGUAGUUCAGAGAGUGAGAUAGAGGACUUCUACUAUGCAACAGAACUUAUAGCGUCUAAUUUGGCUCCAGAAACGACUCAGCGUCAGCUUAAGAGAUUCUCUUUAAUGCGGUUAAUGUCGUAAUGGGUGAAGAUGAAGAAGAAGACCCUGAAGAAAACCCUGAAGAAGACCCUGAAGAAGGGGAAACAAUGAAGGUGGCACGAAUUUGGUUUAAAUCUCUCCAAGCUAGGAAAGAGGCGAGUUCUUUUCUAUUGGGUUAUUGUCUACUAUAUUUUAUUUCUAUUUCGUUCUUAUCUAACAUUAUUAUUUUUUGGAGAAGAAGUGAAUGGAGUUCCCAUUCGUCUUGUACGUGCUGCGAACCAUCGGAUUGUUUUGUUAGUGAGAGGCCUUGAUCCUGAAAAGUCAGAAUCAGAUAUCAAGGCUCAACUAACAAAACAUUUUGAUUCGUGCGGUGGGAUCAAGAAAAUCUUUAUUCCUAAAGAUGAAAACGGUCGCUGUUUAAGUUUUGGAUACGUCUUUAUGGUUCAGGAAGGUCAUAAAGCAGAGAUGAAGGAUUCAUCUGUAAUGGAAGGUGGUGGUGUGAUCAGGGUCUCAGAUUGCACCCUCCAGGCGAGGUUUAAGAAAAUUAAGGAAAAGAUGGAGGCGGAGGGGUGGGUGAAUUCUGAGGAAGAGGAAGAGGAAGAGGAUGAGGAAGAUGGGAUAGUGUUUGGGGAUGAAGAGAUUGAGGAUGAUGAUUCAGAGGGUUCUGAGUAGGUAAAUAAAUUCAGAGGAUGGUUGGUUUAGUUAUUAAGGGUUUGGUCAUUUUGUUAUAGACCUAAACAAUCUAUCUAUCUAAUUAUAAAGUAUGGUAUGGUUCUCUCUCCUGUCAGUGGGCCACCUUGGAUUCCACGUAGGAGCUGACAUGUCCUCAGUUUUCGUUUUGAUUAUUUUGUUGCGUGUAUUGUUAAUAGGCCUCGAUCUCCAAUUGUUUGGUUUUC